rnacentral:rRNA from 1 species
AUUGAACGCUGGCGGCAGGCCUAACACAUGCAAGUCGAACGAGUGGCGGACGGGUGAGUAAUGUCUGGGAAACUGCCUGAUGGAGGGGGAUAACUACUGGAAACGGUAGCUAAUACCGCAUACCAUCGGAUGUGCCCAGAUGGGAUUAGCUAGUAGGUGGGGUAACGGCUCACCUAGGCGACGAUCCCUAGCUGGUCUGGGAGGAUGACCAGCCAAAAGGGAACUGAGACACGGUCCAGACUCCGACGAGAGGCAGAAGAGGUGAAGAUUGGACAAUGGGCGCAAGACUGAUGCAGGCAUGCCGCGUGUAUGAAGAAGGCCUUCGGGGUGUAAAGUACUUUCAGCGGGGAGGCGUUACCCGCAGAAGAAGCACCGGCUAACUCCGUGCCAGCAGCCGCGGUAAUUC